rnacentral:misc_RNA from 1 species
AAGUCGUAACAAGGUUUCCGUAGGUGAACCUGCGGAAGGAUCAUUAACACAUCCUUUUCAAAUUCUCAAACGGCGAAUAACAGAGCCGUACCGGCAGAGGCCUAGGACGUUAUGCAUAGGAUCCCUUUCGUGAAAGGGAUCGGACUCCUAGGAUGUUUGUCCACCCGGGCAGUGCAAGCAAUUGCAUUGUUCGCUGUGUGAGGGGAUGCUCUGACCGGCCCGGUGCCCACAGCUCCUGUGCAUGCUGGCCUUUUUUUUUAACCUUUCACUUGAUAGCACUUAGAAUGCUUGCCGGUGGCUUCCACUGAGGAUUUGAGCUCUUCGUGAGUUCGUCCGAUGCGGCGGUUCCGACCGGUCCAGCGACCCUUGAGCGAGUCCUUGUGGCUCUGUUCAUUGGAAUCUAAACACAACUCUUAACAGCGGAUAUCUCGGUUCUC